CUAUGAUUCAGAUAUUCAGUGCACCCUGCGUAGAUUGGUGAGUGUGCUGGGUGCACACAGUAUCUCUAACAAGGCAGACCUUUAAGAAUUACAUUAAAACCCCUAAGGUCUCCACUACUAGUAAGAUUCAAGAUUUCUAUUUUAAAUCCCUAAUUACAUGGAUUCAGGGUUUUGGUCUGUGUGUGCCUCUCUCUAAUCCAUAAGCUUUUAAGCAAGAAACUUGUUAAACACAGCAUGAACCUUAAGGUACCAUAUUCUGAGAGCCAUUCCCAUUAUGAGUAGUUUUAGAUAUACAGCAGUCAUUUCAGGAGCGUAAAGUGUGACUGCAUGUCUUAUUUUAUCAAUUUGGAAAGAAAACAUUGUCUGCUUCACUUGCCAUAUAUAGUCACAGUAGGUUGUUUCACUUUUUUGGGGGGGGGGGUAUGCUUUUUACGUACAGAGGAGGUCCUGGGGAAGCCAACAGGGGAAACUGCAAUGGGACACCAAAAACUGAACACUGUACUCCAGAAAUUACUGCCAGUGUCAGUACUGACCAGAAAAAAAAAA